GGGCCCGCACAAGCAGUGGAGCAUGUGGUUUAAUUCGAUGCAACGCGAAGAACCUUACCAGGGCUUAAAUGCAGAGCGACAGAGGUGGAAACACCUCCUUCUUCGGACGGUCUGCAAGGUGCUGCAUGGUUGUCGUCAGCUCGUGCUGUGAAGUGUCGGGUUAAGUCCCAUAACGAGCGCAACCCCUAUUUCUAGUUGCCAGCGGUUCGGCCGGGGACUCUAGAGAAACUGCCAGCGUAAGCUGUGAGGAAGGUGGGGAUGACGUCAAAUCAUCACGGCCCUUACGUCCUGGGCCACACACGUGCUACAAUGGUAAGGACAGAGAGUUGCCAACCCGCGAGGGUGAGCUAAUCUUUAAACCUUAUCUCAGUUCGGAUCGAAGUCUGCAACUCGACUUCGUGAAGUUGGAAUC
rnacentral:rRNA from 1 species